AUUUGCAAAUAUUUUUUCCCAGUCUGUGUCUUGUCUUUUCAUUAUCUUAACAAUGUGUAUCACUGAGAAAUUUACCUCCUACUUGAAAUGAAAGACAAGAACCCUCAGGACCCGAAGAUGUAUGCUCAGCAGUAUGGGAAGUAUGUACUCAAAGUUCCUCUAAGUGUGUGAGAGGAUGAAGAGCAUAAACCACUGAAGAGCUAAGUUUCUCCCAGGAGACCCCGUCAGGCAACAGGCAUAUGGUUCAGACUCCUCCAUCUUAUGGCCUGUUCCCCCGCUGCAGACCUUCACUAAGCACUGGCUCUGCACCAGGAGUGUGCGGGGCCCUGGCAUGCAGGGGCCCCAGGCCAGCCCCAGCCCUGCUCUGGAGCUUAUGGUCAGUCUAGGCUUGGGUUCUGCACAGCAGACUCUGAGACAGGGAUUUGAGUGAAGUAAGUAAUGUGGGAGGAACCCAGGAAGUUCUAGUAG
rnacentral:lncRNA from 1 species